GAGGUCUUAGCUUAGUUAAAGUGUUUGAGUUGCAUUCAGGAGAUGUGUAUUAGAAAUACACAGGCUUUU
rnacentral:tRNA from 1 species